GCAAAACGCGAAGAACCUUACCCACCUUUGACAUGUACGGAAUCCUCUAGAGAUAGAGGAGUGCUCGAAAGAGAGCCGUAACACAGGUGCUGCAUGGCUGUCGUCAGCUCGUGUCGUGAGAUGUUGGGUUAAGUCCCGCAACGAGCGCAACCCUUGCCAUUAGUUGCUACGAAAGGGCACUCUAAUGGGACUGCCGGUGACAAACCGGAGGAAGGUGGGGAUGACGUCAAGUCCUCAUGGCCCUUAUAGGUGGGGCUACACACGUCAUACAAUGGCUGGUACAAAGGGUUGCCAACCCGCGAGGGGGAGCUAAUCCCAUAAAGCCAGUCGUAGUCCGGAUCGCAGUCUGCAACUCGACUGCGUGAAGUCGGAAUCGCUAGUAAUCGUGGAUCAGAAUGUCACGGUGAAUACGUUCCCGGGUCUUGUACACACCG
rnacentral:rRNA from 1 species